UGCAAUAUGUUUGAUUGUUAUCUUAAUUUACUGGACCUUUUUUAAAAAAGCAGAGAAAAAACUGCUUGAUCCUGUUAUUCUCUGCUUCAAAUGCGACUUUAAAUGCACACAGACAGUCAGUGUUAGUUACUGAAUAUAGUAUAACUGUUAAUACAACACAAAUCUCCCGAAAGCCAUGGCAGCGUCUUUCUUCGCCCAGUGUACGAGUUCUCAGGGAAUUCCGCAGCUGCACUGGGCAACAUAGAGAUGGUAUCUUUAGUAAUGCCUCCAUGGUUUGAAAUUGUCUCAUCCAGUUGGAGUAAUAUCAAAAAUGUUGAUUAUGAUGAUGGACAGCUGUUUAACUCUCACAAUGAUUGUAUGACAAUUUGACCAUGUGGGGAAACUGCUAUGUUAUGCUACGUUGACGUCAUUUCAGAAUUAGCCUACUGUGAUACAAACUCCUAAUAGAGAGCAAAAGUCUGGUUCUGGAAGUAAAUCCCAUCAUUUUUCUCCAUAGGAGAUUUGAUUUUUAAAAAUAACUUACAUGCCUUUAAAGACCUACUGUGAGCUACGAGGUUGUUUAUCGAUAUGAUUUUAUAUAUGAUUUUAUCGAUAGAAUUAUGUUCAACAGUGGGAUUCCUGGUGAAAAACUACAUUACCCAUUACCCAUGAUUCUGAAAAACUACACUCCCACAAAGCAUUAAUGCUAAUGACUGAUGUAAUCUCCCUACACUUACUUAAAUAUUUGUGCUUUUAUGCAUAUUUUGCAAUAUCAUACAUAAAUCUUUAAAUCAAUAGUUUUAUAUUUAUUUGUUGUUUUUAAUUUGUUAUUUGCAGUGCUAUAUGGGAUUGUAGUUCUUUCCCUCAUUAGAGCGAUUAAAGUCUUUUUUGCUUCAAAUCAAAGUUUGUAAUGUUGCAAGUCAUCUCGUCGCUGGUUGGUUUGGUUAAUGGCUCAUAAUAACUCUUAAACGGGAAAAAUGAAUGGAAAAAAAAAUACUUCCGGAUCCAAGGCUGCUGGAAAAAGUGGACGGUCACUAUUGCACUCUUGGAAACAAGUUAAGGGCAGGAUAGACCUUUUUAUCCAAACAAUGGCAGACGGAACAUUUUGUGAUGCUAGUGGCAUAGAAACUUCACUUUUAAAGGCAGCUUUGUAUAGAUACUGCUAAAUAUUUCUAUUUGAUAUGUCAUUUUAUUAUAGCCAGCAUAUUAUGGUGUGCUCUCUUAGCUCUUCCUGAUUUUGCAAAAAAAUGUGGCUAUUAAGUAUUUUGCAGUAAGUCAUCAGUGAUCAAUUAUGCGUUUACAUGUUGUGUAAUUCUGACACAACGUGAACGCAGCAUAACUUUCAGUGACUGUAAACAUCUUUCCAGUACAACUCAAAGUGUCUGAAUUUCUAGCAUUGGUUUAAGGGCUAAGUUAAGGUUUUUACACUUCCUUAUUGAUGGGUGACUGGUCUUCUGUCCCUGAACGGCUCUGCUUAUGUCCUGUCGGGUUUUUAAAGUGACUGAUGUCUUCUGUGCCCUUUAUGGUUUGUUAAUAUCACAGGAGGGAACCUUGUCUACAGACAAGAUUUAGGAGUGUGUGACAUUUUCCAAAGUGCCAUCGAAUCUCUUCAUGCAUUUCCCAUUAGUUUCAUCCCGAAUGUUUGUUUCGGUGUGGGCGGGUUUGAGUUAAUGGCUUUAUUUUUCAGUCAGGUCAUGCAUUCACCAUUUUGUCUUCAUUUUCACACUCAGUAUCUGUGGCAUAAUCUUGAUUACCAGAGGAAAUAAUUUCAGUUUGUCUCUUAGUUUGUAAGAAUAAAAGUCUGCUAUAUAGAAAGGCA
ensembl:lncRNA